CCAACUCCUCCCUUCUGAGUGACUGUGGCUUUGACCCGUUCCUACCCUUUGGGGGAGGGUCUCACUGAGAAAUGGCUGGGUACUGGCCACACGCAGGAACAUUCGCAUGACCGUGCUGCUGCAGAGGCCUAGAGACUGUGCCCGGGUGCCAGCCUGCCCCAGAAAAAGUUCGUGAGAUCAUGUAGCAGCAGCAUGUCAGAGAUUAUGGCAAAUCACAACACACAUCUGCCACCAGGUCACCCCUAACAUCCUCUCCAACAGCAGUGAAUGCAGCCAUUCUCCAUGGUCUGCUAGAACCUUUGACUGUGGGGAGGCCACACCACCUCUAUCAAAUGACUUCCCAGCAGGGGAACAACCACUUCCUGUGUGGCCCAGGACCCCAAGGACCUUACUUUCUGCUCCCAUGGAUCCACCCUCCCACCAGAGCACCACCAGGCUCCAUCAUAACAUGGAUUUCCAAGACCACGUCAGCAUAGGUGCCUGUUUCCAAAGGUAAUGAUCUGUGUGGUUUAGGGCUGCCAAGUUGAGCCCCAGAUCAACCUCCGGAACUGUUUUGAAGCCCUAAUAUGUAUAGAGGCAUUACUGGUGCCGAUCCCAGCCAUAUGAGCAAACUCAUAAAGUCAGACUUUCCAGUAUUGGGACCCCAGAAUCUACAUAUUUUUAACCUUUGGAUUAACAAUCAUGUUUGGGAUUCACCAAGAAGAUUCUCUUUCAUCCAAAGCAUUCUUAAAGUGUGUAAACCUGGCUCAGGUUAUCGCUAAUUGGAAUCUUUCACAUGGCUCGAUUUUGAUCUACAGCAGAGGUACAGUACCACAGUAGAAGUAGAUCAUUAGAUCUUUCCAGUUUGUUCCAGAACUAAUGUCAACUCCUGGAGAAGGCACAGGGCUAAAUGGAAAAUGGAGGAACCCAUCAUUGAGCACUUGUUACAUGGUAGUUACAUAGUCUGUGAAGUGUUUUCCAUGUGUAACAUGGAAAAAAGCUAUUUGUAAUUUAUAAUUCUCUUCUACCUUCUAAAGAAGAUACACCCCAGUGACUGGAGGCUUCCUUGUGGACUGAAAAGAAUGAUUCCUGAGGAGUGAUGUUUGGAGGAAAUGGAUAAGAGUUAAAUUGAG